rnacentral:rRNA from 1 species
ACUCCUACGGGAGGCAGCAGUGGGGAAUAUUGCACAAUGGGCGCAAGCCUGAUGCAGCCAUGCCGCGUGUAUGAAGAAGGCCUUCGGGUUGUAAAGUACUUUCAGCAGUGAGGAAGGUGGUGCAGUUAAUAGCUGUAUCAUUUGACGUUAGCUGCAGAAGAAGCACCGGCUAACUCCGUGCCAGCAGCCGCGGUAAUACGGAGGGUGCGAGCGUUAAUCGGAAUUACUGGGCGUAAAGCGCAUGCAGGUGGUUUGUUAAGUCAGAUGUGAAAGCCCGGGGCUCAACCUCGGAAUUGCAUUUGAAACUGGCAGACUAGAGUACUGUAGAGGGGGGUAGAAUUUCAGGUGUAGCGGUGAAAUGCGUAGAGAUCUGAAGGAAUACCGGUGGCGAAGGCGGCCCCCUGGACAGAUACUGACACUCAGAUGCGAAAGCGUGGGGAGCAAACAGGAUUAGAUACCCUGGUAGGAUAGCG